CUCUUGGUGUCAUGCAACUGGAUGCUGCUUAGUUAGUGUAGGCAGCUAGGAUUCCAGCAAUCUAGACUUCUCCUUUUAGCUCUCAAAGACUUGUAGGUCUGAUCUGGAUUUGUGAACUGUUUAGUGUAUUAGUCCAUUAGAUGUUUUUCCUGUGGCCCAUUUCUUUUGCAGUGAUUGCAAAUGAUUCAUCCAAGUAUUUCUAGUUGGGGUAGUGAGUACUUCAGUACUUUCAUGUCUAUAUCUAGAGAUGAGAACAAUUAUUUUUGAAUUGCAGGUUACAUUUCAUCAACUUUCUAUGGAGUCCAAAACAUUUCAGCAAGGAGGCAGUGAUUUAUUUUUUAUCUUAGCAGAUAAAGGGUGGAGCACUAAACUUUUGGUCAGAGAAGUGAUGCUGUCAUGUGCAUGAGCUUUAUUUAUUUGUCUCUGUCUCACAGCAUUCCACGUUCUGUGUUUUAUUAACUUCCUAGACUUCCUAGCAGACAGCCAGAUCUGAAUAAGGUGUGCUGUCCAUGAUUGAUCAUCAGUAUCUGAGAAUAUUGCCCAACAUUUCUGAUCCUGGAACACUGCAGUCAAACACUUCUGCCUGGAGAGCGCAGGUGUAACUUCUUUCUUUUACUUGAGGAGUCUAGGUCAUUGGAAGCAUUUGAUCUACUGACCUCUCAUAUGCCUUCUCCUCUUAUUUUAAGUCAAAAACAGUUCCUAGAGCAAAGCAGAAGGCUGCUUUCUUAAUUUUGAUUGACCACACAGCCUUGGUUUACAGAUCUUCCUAUAGCCUCUUUCUCAGUCUUGGAAAGUACUCAUCAGCUUCCUGCAGCUUCUAUCAGUGUGAUGUGCUUGUCCCUCAAAUUUGAGUCACUGAGAUUAAGUUUACAUACUCUAGUAGCCUGCAGUUUAUGUCUUUAGAAUUUAGUAACCGGGAUACUAAAAGCAGAGCAGAAGCUUCUGUGAACUUGUGCAGAUUCAUCGACUUUUGCAGAUGACUUUCUGUCCAAAAUGUGUCUUCCAUAUUUUUCUUUCCUGACUGUUGCUUCUCCGAACAGGUUUAAACUACUGUGCUUUUAAAGUGCAGUCUGUAGUUUUCCUCGAGGGAAAGAGUGAUCAGACUGUGUAGCUUCUUUGCUGCUUUUUAAAAAGUUAUUAGGCUGCUUUCUCUCAUGCAUCUGGCUAGGUAUCCCUUUCCAUAGUGAGUCAGAAUUUUUGCUGGAAAAAUAAAACCCUUCUACCUUUCAAGCCAGUGGUAUCUACAGGGCUCAAGUUUGUAUAAUGUUAGGUCCAUUUCUGACAGCAGUUACUUCAUCUUGCAGAAUUUCUUUAACACUGGCUUCGACACCUUCUGAACCUUUAUUUUUUUUUUCCAAACAGAUAGACCUCCUUGUGUACCAGUUCAGACUUUAUUCUGGAGAUCCCUGCCAUGGUCAGGUUUAAUCAAGCUAUUCAUUUCUCAGCCUUUUUCCUGGACACAUCUAAUGCUGAAGAGCAACUCCUGCACACUCAGUGUACAUGAACAAUUACACAGCUAUGUAGAACAAAGCCAUUAAGAAAGGAUCCCCACUUGUUUGUACCGUUUACCAAAUAGAAAAGGGUGAAAGGGUAUGAAGCAAUACUUAGUUAACUGGCUGCAUCUGUUUCUUUCAUGACACACACACUUGGCUUUUAAUCUUUAGACCUAACGGGACAUGCUGUUUUGGCAGAUUUGUUAAUCAGGAAGAUACAUUGGUUUGCAGACCCUUUUCAGGCACAACCCAGGCUAUGUAGGCAUGAACAGAGCAAUGGACACCUAAUGAAAUGUGUCUGAUAUAUCAGA